UACGGAGGGUGCAAGCGUUAUCCGGAUUCACUGGGUUUAAAGGGUGCGUAGGUGGGCAGGUAAGUCAGUGGUGAAAUCUCCGGGCUUAACCCGGAAACUGCCAUUGAUACUAUCAGUCUUGAAUACCGUGGAGGUAAGCGGAAUAUGUCAUGUAGGCGGUGAAAUGCUUAGAUAUGACAUAGAACACCAAUUGCGAAGGCAGCUUACUACCCGAAUAUUGACACUGAGGCACGAAAGCGUGGGGAUCAAACAGG
rnacentral:rRNA from 1 species